rnacentral:lncRNA from 10 species
GGACAUCUUGUGAAUGGGUGGGUACAGCCUGUUCUUCUGGGCAAGACAAACAGUGCAGGACUCUAUAUGCCAGGGUGGCUGAAGCCCCAGUGUCCAAGAGGCUUGCCCAUUCCUCCCUGCCCCUGGCACUGAACCCAAGCUUCCAUGGGGCACUGUGGAAGAGGCCUUGCCUGACGACAAGUAGACCAAACACGACCGUCCGUCCUCUAAAAACUGCACCCUUGGAAUUGGGGACAGGCAGAAUAACCCUUUCACUAGCUUGAUACUUAGCCUCUUGGGGUUCUGAUAAAUCCUUUUGAAUAACCAAGCAGUUUUGUUUUUAAUACCUUGGCCUGAGCCCUUUAGAUGCAGCCAUCCUCAACUUACAAAAAAAACAAACCAAAAGAAAAAACAAAACACACACACACACAAACAAACUUUGAUUCAAUUGACAAAGGUUUUCAAGGUGUCUACUACAUGUAAGGCAGCACACUAGGGGUUUCUUGGGGAUACGCAGAUGACAAAGACAGUGUCUCUUCAUCCAGGAGCUAAUCAAGAGAAGGGGGAAGAAUCAAGCAAACUUCAUAAUACACAGCCGGAUGAAAUGAAAAGAGACUUAGAUCAAGUGCUGUGAGAGCUUGGAAGAGGCACGGGGCAAAUAACACUGGGGCUGGUGGUGGGAAGGCAAGUGACAGCCUCGUGGAAGAGGUGGCAUUUGACCAGAGAUGAGGACGAACAGAAUUAACAUAGUAGGCAUGAAGGAAGAAAAUGCGCCUGAGGACACAGCCAGCACAAAUGCAGAGGCAUACAAGUGCCUGGUACAGCUGGCAUGCAGGGAUGGCUGAGGAACUGCGGGGGCAGCCGGUGGGAUCCAUCCGAGGUAAAGGUUAGAGGCAAGUCUCGGAGAUGGAAACCCAAGGUCAUGCAGUUGUGCCAAUGCCCGUUGUUAGACAACAUGCUUCUAUUCCUGACAAACCAGUCUCAAGCAGCUCUGACUGAUGGGGCGGAUUUCAAUGCUCUCCAAUGACUUCCAAGUGUUAAGAAAAAGCUGCUGCUACCCUACAUGCCCAAGCUAUACGAACUACUUUUUUCCAGGCAAACAGGAUUCCUGCAGACAAUGCUCGGAUGAUGAAAUCUGAGAGGCUGGAUGACAGAGAAACCCACAUGCAUACACACACACUUUAUAAAGCUUAGGAACAAAAGCACUUUAUAAUCUCCUUCUGAUGCCAAGUUUACAGUGCUUCCAGAGUCAACAAAGGUGACUCAGGAGAGUGCACCCAGCUCCUUUCAGCACUUAUUUAGCUCAGCCACCUGUGUGAGCUCAAAGACAAGGGUGCCGACUUCACCUGAGUAGACCCUGAGUCACGUGAUUUCUUGCUGGAGAUGAUUCAGCAAAGGAGCACUAACCUCUGAGACAAGGCUUCAGCUUCCUGAGCUCUGCUGACUCGCCUGGGACUUCCCUAAGCCCUUCUGGACCUAGAUGAGGGCAAAACUCAGUGGAACCUCAGAAGCCCUAAAAAAAUGAUAGACUUUCUUUUGUCUCAUCAUUAUCAGCAUUUUGGGAUGAUUUAGUCAGCCUAAGAAACCUGAUGGCAUGUUGACACCAGAAAACAGGUAGUAUAUAUUCCCAAACCAAGUUAAAAAAAAUUAAGAAAUAACAGCUGGAAUGCCUUUUAUUUUUUCUUUACACAAAUGUGUGUGUCAUCGUCAUAUGCCUUUUUUGUGUUAAUUUCUGAGGAUCCUGCCAGUGUGAAUACUCCAUUCUCUGCGAGUCGCAGGUCAGGCUGCUUUUGAGGCAAGCACACGUUAAGUAUUGAGCAGAAACAUUUGAAGCAAAGAUGAGAAAGACAGAAGGGGAAGCAAGAAAAAUAGUCUUCCCAGUGUGCCUAUUUGGGUGCAUAUAAAGUUACUUUUAGAUGUGCGAUUACUGGUUAAUGAUUUGGGGAAUUCUUUUCAAGUAGAAAUCCUGGGCUAAAAACUAAGUGUGCUCAAGCUACCCCCGCACCCACUGAUUCUGCACUCCAUGGGAAAAGUUCUCACAAGCAAGUCCUUUGUCCACUACCCACGUCUAUAGGAAAUGUUUGAACAGCUAUACACAAAGAACUCACAAGUCCACAACCUCGGGGGUGUUGCGGGUGGAGAGGGCAGUGGUAAAGGUGAUGACAGGGAGGGCCUGUGGGGACAGUAAUAUUAGAUUAGUGGUCAGAAGAUGCUGGAGCCUGCCUUGCCAGUCACACACUUUUAGAGGAAUGCUGGACAGUACACACCCUCCCCAACCCUGAAUGUAGGCCCUCGCUGACAUCACGCCAGAUGAAGCCCUGAGGUCUUUAACAUCUGUAACUCUAUGGCAUGUAACAUAAACAGGUGUCUGACCAGUUUCCCCAGAUAUAGAAUAAUAAUAAUACCUUUCAUUUAAAAAGGUAAGAGGGAAUUCAACAAGCUUUCCUUCUUAAAUAAAUCUCCAUCUCAGGAAGCCAUGGAAAGAUGCCCCUCCCACACUAAGACUGUAGAGAGAGGCACUGUGAAGGUCUGGCUUGGAGAUCUCAGCUCUUCCUGCCUCUCAGGGGGAAAGGGCAGAUCCAGCAGGCCGGGAAAGGAUCUCCCAGGGUCCCAAGGAGGCAGCAUGGGGCAAAGUCCAACAGUGAGGAUUCUCUCCUUCUCUGGUCUCUUUUCUGUUAAAAAUGCUUCUUUGGGGUACCCUUCAUUACUACCCUGGAGGUUGAAGGACACUUCUUGAGAAGGCAUAGAUACUCUUCAGGUAUGCUGAAGAAAUGAGUUGUGCUAAAACCACUGGUUAAUUUUGUCUGUGGCAAAAAAUCAUGAGGGUGACAUAGACUCCCAGGCCAGGAACCCGAGACUGGAUUUAAGAGAUGUGGCCAGGAUCCACAGGGGAGCUUGUAUGUGGCUCACAUCAUUAGCUCUUUCUGUAUAUUUGUAUUGUAAACCAUUUCCCUUCAUUUGUGAAGAUGGAGAUCACUUUUUCUAUACAGGCUAGAAAUGUUUCUUCAUACACACACGCUGAGCUUGUUUAUAAAAGAUAUUCAUUUAUAUGGUGGUUUUAACAACUUUUCCAUGUGGAAAUUUUAGACGACAGUAACACAGACCCUCAUGUACUCAUCACUCAGCCUUGAUGGUUACUGACACAUGCCCAAUAUUGUUUCAUCUGUUUCUCCCCACAACUCCUGGAUUAAUUUGAAAGAAAUCCUAGAAGUCACUUAAUCAGCAAAUACUCCAGUCUGUUGGUCCACUCCUUAUACAAUAGCCAGGGUGAUCUUUUACACAUGAAGUAGUGAUUGCAUCACUCAUGCUUGCUUGGAAUUCUUCAAAGACUUACGUUGGCACUUCAGAUAAAGUGUAGACUCCUUCGCGUGACCUAGGAUGUCCUUUGGGCUCUCACUGUUCCCUCAGCCUCCUCACCUGAAGCUCUCACUGCCCCACCCCUUUGCUCAUCACACUCCAACCCGCCUGCCAUUGAGCUACUCAAAUGGACUGCUCCUUUCUCAAGACCUCUGCACACUUUCAAGCCUCAUUUCUCUUCAGCCUUUAUUAAAUGUCAUCUCCUCCAGAUGGCCUCCUUUGGUGGCCCAGGUCAUGUUAGAUCUGCCUGUUAAAUAAAUGCUUUCAAAGAACCUUGGAUUUUAUUUUUUUCUCAUUAAAUUGUAAGUAUAUAGUUAAUGUUUAAUUUCUCUUUAAAAUUUCUUUCUCCCUCCCCACCCCAACUGGACUGUAAAUUCCACAAGAGCAGGAUCAUGUUUGCCUCACUCAUCACUGAAUUCCUGGCACCUCGCACAGAACCUGAGUAUUGCAGAACCCAUGCCUGCUAUGCACAUAUGCAUUGAUAUAAGCCUAUUAUAUAAAUAAACAGAUCAAUAUCUAUUUGGCUAUUUACACCCCACCUAUAUGUCUUUGGUCAAGAUUUAAAAGCUCCUGGAAAAACAAAAAUACAAUUUCCUUAGGAAUAAAAGCCUACCACAGCCUUGUGUAAAAUUAAGCACUUAAUAACCUUGAUGAUG